rnacentral:rRNA from 1 species
AGGUUAACCGAAUAGGGGAGCCGGAGGGAAACCGAGUCUUAACCGGGCGUUAAGUUGCAGGGUAUAGACCCGAAACCCGGUGAUCUAGCCAUGGGCAGGUUGAAGGUUGGGUAACACUAACUGGAGGACCGAACCGACUAAUGUUGAAAAAUUAGCGGAUGACCUGUGGCUGGGGGUGAAAGGCCAAUCAAACCGGGAGAUAGCUGGUUCUCCCCGAAAGCUAUUUAGGUAGCGCCUCGUGAAUUCAUCUCCGGGGGUAGAGCACUGUUUCGGCUAGGGGGCCAUCCCGGCUUACCAACCCGAUGCAAACUGCGAAUACCGGAGAAUGUUAUCACGGGAGACACACGGCGGGUGCUAACGUCCGUCGUGAAGAGGGAAACAACCCAGACCGCCAGCUAAGGUCCCAAAGUCAUGGUUAAGUGGGAAACGAUGUGGGAAGGCCCAGACAGCCAGGAUGUUGGCUUAGAAGCAGCCAUCAUUUAAAGAAAGCGUAAUAGCUCACUGGUCGAGUCGGCCUGCGCGGAAGAUGUAACGGGGCUAAACCAUGCAC